rnacentral:rRNA from 1 species
AUUGAACGCUGGCGGCAUGCCUUACACAUGCAAGUCGAACGGCAGCGCGGACUUCGGUCUGGCGGCGAGUGGCGAACGGGUGAGUAAUACAUCGGAACGUACCCUGUUGUGGGGGAUAACUAGUCGAAAGAUUAGCUAAUACCGCAUACGACCUGAGGGUGAAAGUGGGGGACCGCAAGGCCUCACGCAGCAGGAGCGGCCGAUGUCUGAUUAGCUAGUUGGCGGGGUACAGGCCCACCAAGCCGACGAUCAGUAGCUGGUCUGAGAGGACGAUCAGCCAAAAUUGGGCUGAGACUAAGAGCAGACUUCUACGGGAGGCAGAGGUGGGGAAUUUUGGACAAUGGGGGCAACCCUGAUACAGCAAUGCCGCAUGUGUGAAGAAGGCCUUCGGGUUGUAAAGCACUUUUGUCCGGAAAGAAAUCGCGCUGGUUAAUACCUGGCGUGGAUGACGGUACCGGAAGAAUAAGCACCGGCUAACUACGUGCCAGCCGCCGCCGUAA